rnacentral:rRNA from 1 species
GAUGAACGCUGGCGGCGUGCCUAAUACAUGCAAGUCGAGCGAACAGACGAGGAGCUUGCUCCUCUGACGUUAGCGGCGGACGGGUGAGUAACACGUGGAUAACCUACCUAUAAGACUGGGAUAACUUCGGGAAACCGGAGCUAAUACCGGAUAAUAUAUUGAACCGCAUGGUUCAAUAGUGAAAGACGGUUUUGCUGUCACUUAUAUAUGGAUCCGCGCCGCAUUAGCUAGUUGGUAAGGUAACGGCUUACCAAGGCAACGAUGCGUAGCCGACCUGAGAGGGUGAGCGGCCACACUGGAACUGAGACACGGUCCAGACUCCUACGGGAGGCAGCAGUAGGGAAUCUUCCGCAAUGGGCGAAAGCCUGACGGAGCAACGCCGCGUGAGUGAUGAAGGUCUUCGGAUCGUAAAACUCUGUUAUUAGGGAAGAACAAAUGUGUAAGUAACUAUGCACGUCUUGACGGUACCUAAUCAGAAAGCCACGGCUAACUACGUG